CUCUCAACGCCAAAACAACAAAUGCACAGAAGUGACCUUGAAGACUAAGUCGAGAGUAUUACUUACCUACUGUAUGUUUUCAAUAAGAGUAGUUUCUGUUUUUGAAGUUUUCCCUGAUGUUCCCGUGUCACAAUACAAAAUAUAAUAUAGGUAUCUAAGAAAAAAUAUAAGAAAUCAGUGAAAUAUAUAACAUGAAAAUGAGACAUGUAAAAGACGGGAAGAAAAGAAGAGAAAAAAAUAAGAAAAAAAGUACCUU